rnacentral:snRNA from 1 species
AUAAUUUUCUAGGCCUCUUGGCUAAGAUUUAGUGUAGUUAUCUGUUAUUAUCAGAUCGAUAUAUGAUAUGAGGGUUACCGACCCUCACGAUAUGAAUGUCGUUUCUUUCACGGGUGUGAGACCGAAGGGCCAACUUGCUGACUCGGCCUUGCGAGCGUCUCUACGGUAUUGCAUUAUCUCCCUGGCAGGCACAGCCCUC